rnacentral:rRNA from 1 species
GACGAACGCUGGCGGCGUGCCUAAUACAUGCAAGUAGAACGCUGAAGAGAGGAGCUUGCUCUUCUUGGAUGAGUUGCGAACGGGUGAGUAACGCGUAGGUAACCUGCCUUGUAGCGGGGGAUAACUAUUGGAAACGAUAGCUAAUACCGCAUAACAAUGGAUGACACAUGUCAUUUAUUUGAAAGGGGCAAUUGCUCCACUACAAGAUGGACCUGCGUUGUAUUAGCUAGUAGGUGAGGUAACGGCUCACCUAGGCGACGAUACAUAGCCGACCUGAGAGGGUGAUCGGCCACACUGGGACUGAGACACGGCCCAGACUCCUACGGGAGGCAGCAGUAGGGAAUCUUCGGCAAUGGGGGCAACCCUGACCGAGCAACGCCGCGUGAGUGAAGAAGGUUUUCGGAUCGUAAAGCUCUGUUGUAAGUCAAGAACGAGUGUGAGAGUGGAAAGUUCACACUGUGACGGUAGCUUACCAGAAAGGGACGGCUAACUACGUGCCAGCAGCCGCGGUAGUACGUAGGUCCCGAGCGUUGUCCGGAUUUAUUGGGCGUAAAGCGAGCGCAGGCGGUUUGAUAAGUCUGAAGUUAAAGGCUGUGGCUCAACCAUAGUUCGCUUUGGAAACUGUCAAACUUGAGUGCAGAAGGGGAGAGUGGAAUUCCAUGUGUAGCGGUGAAAUGCGUAGAUAUAUGGAGGAACACCGGUGGCGAAAGCGGCUCUCUGGUCUGUAACUGACGCUGAGGCUCGAAAGCGUGGGGAGCGAACAGGAUUAGAUACCCUGGUAGUCCACGCCGUAAACGAUGAGUGCUAGGUGUUGGAUCCUUUCCGGGAUUCAGUGCCGCAGCUAACGCAUUAAGCACUCCGCCUGGGGAGUACGACCGCAAGGUUGAAACUCAAAGGAAUUGACGGGGGCCCGCACAAGCGGUGGAGCAUGUGGUUUAAUUCGAAGCAACGCGAAGAACCUUACCAGGUCUUGACAUCCCGAUGCUAUUUCUAGAGAUAGAAAGUUACUUCGGUACAUCGGUGACAGGUGGUGCAUGGUUGUCGUCAGCUCGUGUCGUGAGAUGUUGGGUUAAGUCCCGCAACGAGCGCAACCCCUAUUGUUAGUUGCCAUCAUUCAGUUGGGCACUCUAGCGAGACUGCCGGUAAUAAACCGGAGGAAGGUGGGGAUGACGUCAAAUCAUCAUGCCCCUUAUGACCUGGGCUACACACGUGCUACAAUGGUUGGUACAACGAGUUGCGAGUCGGUGACGGCAAGCUAAUCUCUUAAAGCCAAUCUCAGUUCGGAUUGUAGGCUGCAACUCGCCUACAUGAAGUCGGAAUCGCUAGUAAUCGCGGAUCAGCACGCCGCGGUGAAUACGUUCCCGGGCCU